CCAGACCACUGGAAGACUCCCGCAGGAGUCUGGCACCCCGUGGGUGCUCACUGCACUCCCGGGGAGCCACUGUUUUGGUCAGGUCGGUUCUGGGAUUCUGCGUAGGGUGCAGGGUGGUCAUUGGAGAAAGGUCAGCCCUGCCUUCUGCUGCUGCAUCAGUCCAGUCCUCUGCCUCCCUUGGGGGGGCCAACAGGCCUUCUCACCCAUGCCCUGUCACCUGCUGGCCACAGCCUUCCCUUGGCAGCUCCUACCUACCGUCAGGUGCUAUAUUCAUCAACCAAGGUACAACGAUGACCAAGCUGAGAUGCUGGCCCUAAAGGAGAACAUAUGACUGCUCUCUGAUCUUUCCAGGGACCAGAUUUUGAUCAGAGGAAGGGGCCCAACUGGUGGCAGAAAACCCCACAGAUUGAAGAAAGCUUCUCCACCUUUGGGAGCAACUCGACCCUGGAGUCCCAAGUCCCCAGUUUCCCUGAGAGACGGGACUGGGCUACCCCUCCUUGCAAGGCAGUGUGGUGUAGUAGAGGAGCCCACUAAGCUCCAGGGCCUGUGCUGGGUGCUAAUGUGGCAAGGAUGAGAGGAAGAAGACCUGGUCCCCGUGGUCCCCGCCCUCGCAGAGACAGGCGAGUGUGGCCUGUGCUGGAGAAGGAUGUGACCACGCCUGUGAUUGUGCAGUCUCCUCCUCAGAACUCUGGGAGUGUUUUUAAGGACCUUUUCUCACCUCAUUGCUCCAAGUGUGCAGCUUUUCCUGUGUGCCCCAGCGGGAGAGCAUGUGGCCUCCACCCGGACACCUGUAGUCUUUGUGUUUCUCUUCCACGGAGUAAGUGCGUAGUUGGUGACACCACGUGCUAAUGUCUCAUACUGCUGUGACGUGUACAUGUCAUAGCCGCGCCGCAAGCUCCUGGAUCAGGCCCAGCCGGCAUCCCUCAAGUGCCCAGCCUUGUACCUGGACCAGCAGGUAUCCAAAGAUGGAAUUAUAGUUGGUGUGUCUAAAUCUUGUCUUCUCUACUACACGGUAGGUUUUUGAAGCUCAACAUCUGAACUGAUGGCCCCCUCGCAUGGGCAAGCCAUCAGGGACCCCAGAGGAUUUCC
rnacentral:lncRNA from 1 species